rnacentral:rRNA from 1 species
ACAUACGACCAUAGGGUGUGGAAAACAGGGCUUCCCGUCCGCUCAGCCGUACUUAAGCCACACGCCGGGAGGUUAGUAGUUGGGUGGGUGAC